AUCAACUUUCGAUGGUAGGAUAGAGGCCUACCAUGGUGGUAACGGGUAACGGGGUGUUAGGGCACGACACCGGAGAGGGAGCCUGAGAAACGGCUACCACAUCCAAGGAUGGCAGCAGGCGCGCAAAUUACCCAAUCCCGACACGGGGAGGUAGUGACAAUAAAUAACAAUACGGGGUUCUAUAGGAUUUCGUAAUUGGAAUGAGUACAAUUUAAAUCUCUUAACGAUCAACAAUUGGAGGGCAAGUCUGGUGCCAGCAGCCGCGGUAAUUCCAGCUCCAAUAGCGUAUAUUAAAGUUGUUGCAGUUAAAAAGCUCGUAGUUGAAUUUUAGACCUGGCCGGGCGGUCCGUCUUUGGCGAGUACUGUCUGCUGUCGGGUCUUCCUUCUGGUGAACCAGUAUGUCCUUUAUUGGGUGUGUUGGGGAGCCAGGACCAUUACCUUGAAAAAAUUAGAGUGUUUAAAGCGGGCUAUUGCUUGAAUAGAUUAGCAUGGAAUAAUGAAAUAGGACGUUUGAACCUAUUUUGUUGGUUUCUAGGAUCGACGUAAUGAUUAAUAGGGAUAGUUGGGGGCAUUAGUAUUCAAUUG
rnacentral:rRNA from 1 species